UUGUCUAAAGAACUGCCACGCCAGGGAACUCCUUGGAGCUGGCUUUGGUGUGCUCGGUCCCUGGGUGCGGUGGGCAGUAGCAGGCGUACUGUCUAGGGGAUGGCCGCUCUGCUUUUGCACCCUGCUCUAGGAGGAACAGGUGUAUGUGGAGUAGGAGGUUGAGGAGGCGGUGACCGUGGCGCCGACGACGCAUUCGGAUGUCUGCCCUAACAACUUUCGAUGUUACUUUCUGCGCCUACCAUGGUGACCAUGGGUAACGGGGAAUCAGGGUUUGAUUCCAGAGAGGGAGCCUAAGAAAUGGCUACCACAUGCAAGGAAUGCAGCAGGCGUGCAAAUUACCCACUCCAGAAACGGGGAGGUAGUGACGAUAA
rnacentral:rRNA from 1 species